rnacentral:rRNA from 1 species
GACGAACUGUGCAAACGUUAUUCGGAAUCACUGGGCUUAAAGGGUGCGUAGGCGGUCUUUUAAGUAGGGUGUGAAAGCCCCCGGCUCAACCGGGGAACUGCGCCCUAAACUAGAAGGCUUGAGUGAGGUAGGGGUGUGUGGAACUUCCAGUGGAGCGGUGAAAUGUGUUGAUAUUGGAAGGAACGCCGGUGGCGAAAGCG